AUGCAGGCAGAGUUCAAGCUGAGCAUAAACGCCUACUUGGCAGACUUUGUCUGCUCCCCGGCCCAUUCGCUAGCAGACAUCAUAGUUUUCAACAACCAGCAUCCUGAGCAGGAGCGGAUGAAAGAUUUUGGGCAGGACGGCCUUAUCGCAGCCCAAAAUACAAAGGACAUUGACCCCGUGGAAAGAGAGGCAAUACAACGGCUAAAGGAACUAUCAGCUAAUGGGCUGGAGAAGCUGAUGAAGGAGCACCAACUAAAUGCGACAGGAGGAUCUAGACAACCUUGGGAGGUUACCUGCUCUGGGUGUUCUCGAGUUAAGCUGCUCCUACGCACGAAAACGCAUGCUGCACAUUGGUGGCUAUGUGCAGUGCAGUUGACACUAUUCCGAAAGGCUUGA
rnacentral:rRNA from 1 species